rnacentral:rRNA from 1 species
AUUGAACGCUGGCGGCAUGCUUUACACAUGCAAGUCGAACGGUAACAGGCCGCAAGGUGCUGACGAGUGGCGAACGGGUGAGUAAUGCAUCGGAACGUGCCCAGUCGUGGGGGAUAACGCAGCGAAAGCUGCGCUAAUACCGCAUACGAUCUAUGGAUGAAAGCAGGGGACCGUAAGGCCUCGCGCGAUUGGAGCGGCCGAUGUCAGAUUAGGUAGUUGGUGGGGUAAAGGCGCACCAAGCCAACGAUCUGUAGCUGGUCUGAGAGGACGACCAGCCACACUGGGACGGAGACACGGCCCAGACUCCUACGGGAGGCAGCAGUGGGGAAUUUUGGACAAUGGGCGCAAGCCUGAUCCAGCAAUGCCGCGUGCAGGAAGAAGGCCUUCGGGUUGUAAACUGCUUUUGUACGGAACGAAACGGUCCUGGUUAAUACCCGGGGCUAAUGACGGUACCGUAAGAAUAAGCACCGGCUAACUACGUGCCAGCAGCCGCCGUAAAAC